UGAACCUGCGGAGGGAUCAUUACCGAGUUUACAACUCCCAAACCCCUGUGAACAUACCUAUACGUUGCCUCGGCGGAUCAGCCCGCGCCCUGUAAAACGGGACGGCCCGCCCGAGGACCCUAAACUCUGUUUUUAGUGGAACUUCUGAGUAAAACAAACAAAUAAAUCAAAACUUUCAACAACGGAUCUCUUGGUUCUGGCAUCGAUGAAGAACGCAGCAAAAUGCGAUAAGUAAUGUGAAUUGCAGAAUUCAGUGAAUCAUCGAAUCUUUGAACGCACAUUGCGCCCGCCAGUAUUCUGGCGGGCAUGCCUGUUCGAGCGUCAUUUCAACCCUCAAGCUCAGCUUGGUGUUGGGACUCGCGGUAACCCGCGUUCCCCAAAUCGAUUGGCGGUCACGUCGAGCUUCCAUAGCGUAGUAAUCAUACACCUCGUUACUGGUAAUCGUCGCGGCCACGCCGUAAAACCCCAACUUCUGAAUGUUGACCUCGGAUCAGGUAGGAAUACCCGCUGAACUUAAGCAUAUCAAUAAGCGGAGGAA
rnacentral:rRNA from 1 species